rnacentral:rRNA from 1 species
AGCCCAACAGCUAGCCUACUUAAAUAAAAACAACAACCACACAUAGAUAACCCCAUAAGCACUACAAAACCAAAACAAACCAUUUUUCCACUAUAGUAUAGGAGAUAGAAAAAGAACACAGAGCAAUAGAAAAAGUACCGCAAGGGAAAGCUGAAAGAGAAAUGAAAAAACCCAGUUAAGCUAAAAAAAGCAGAGAUUUCCCCUCGUACCUUUUGCAUCAUGAUUUAGCUAGUACCUCCAAGCAAAAAGAAUUUUAGUUUGAACCCCCGAAACUAAGUGAGCUACUCCAGGACAGCCUACCAACAGGGCACACCCAUCUCUGUGGCAAAAGAGUGGGAAGAUCCUCGAGUAGAGGUGAUAAACCUACCGAACUUAGUUAUAGCUGGUUGCCUGAGAAAUGGAUAGAAGUUCAGCCCCCUAGGCCCUUUUUUCAAGCUCGUACUCACCCCUUCCGCCAAAGAGCCCUAGAGGAGUUAGUUGCAGGAGGUACAGCCCCUGCAACACGAGAUACAACCCUGCCAGGAGGAUUAAGAUCAAAAUAUAAACAAGGCAGUAUGUUUAGGUGGGCCUAAAAGCAGCCAUCCUGACCGAAAGCGUUAAAGCUCAAACAUCCAACCCCCACUAAUCCCGAUAAUAAAAUCUAAAUCCCCUAAAACAUAUCAGGCCUUCCUAUGCAGACAUAGGACCGACUAUGCUAAUAUGAGUAAUAAGAAAGUACCGACUUUCUCCAAGCAUAAGUGUACAUCGGAACGAACCCACACCGAACAUUAACGGCCCCAACCAAAGAGGGGAAUGAUGAUAAAACAGAAAACAAGAAAAAUGCUCAAAUGACAACCGUUGACCCCACACUGGAAUGCCACUAAGGAAAAACUAAAAGGAAAAGAAGGAACUCGGCAAACACAAGCCUCGCCUGUUUACCAAAAACAUCGCCUCUUGCAAGACAAUGAAUAAGAGGUCCCGCCUGCCCUGUGACUUUUACGUUUAACGGCCGCGGUAUUUUGACCGUGCGAAGGUAGCGCAAUCACUUGUCUCUUAAAUGGGGACCUGUAUGAAUGGCAUUACGAGGGUUUAACUGUCUCCUUUCCCAAGUUAAUGAAAUUGAUCCUCCCGUGCAGAAGCGGGAAUAUGAACAUAAGACGAGAAGACCCUAUGGAGCUUUAGGUAAUAAACAGAUCGUACCAAACAUCCCUAAUAAAGGAACACAACCAUACGAAACCUGUCCAAAUGCCUUUGGUUGGGGCGACCGCGGGGAAACAAAAAACCCCCAUGUGGAAAGGGACCACCAAUCCUCCAUACAAGAGCCCCCGCUCUAAGAAACAGAACAUCUGACCUCUAAGAUCCGGCAAAGCCGAUCAACGAACCGAGUUACCCUAGGGAUAACAGCGCAAUCCCCUUAUAGAGCCCAUAUCGACAAGGGGGUUUACGACCUCGAUGUUGGAUCAGGAUAUCCUAAUGGUGCAGCCGCUAUUAAGGGUUCGUUUGUUCAACGAUUAAAAUCCUACGUGAUCUGAGUUCAGACCGGAGUAAUCCAGGUCGGUUUCUAUCUAUGACGCAAUCCUUUUUCAGUACGAAAGGACCAAAAAGAAGAGGCCCAUGUCACAGACACGCCUCACCCCAACUCGCUGCCCCCAACUCAAGCGAACAAAGGAGAGCUAAACCAUGUUAAAGAACAUAACAU